GCAAGUCGAACGGCCCUUCGGGGCAGUGGCAAACGGGCGAGUAACGCGUACUUAACCUACCCAGAAGUUGGGGACAACUAUGGAGACAUAGCUAAUCCCCAAUAUUAUCUUUUGGCUGAAAUGCCUUUAGAUCAAAGAUUUAUCGCUUUUGGAGGGGGGUGCGUCCUAUCAGGUAGUUGGUAAGGUAAUGGCUUACCAAGCCUAUGACGGGUAGCCGGUCUGAGAGGAUGUCC
rnacentral:rRNA from 1 species